rnacentral:rRNA from 1 species
UACGUAGGGGGCAAGCGUUGUCCGGAUUUACUGGGUGUAAAGGGCGCGCAGGCGGAUCUGUAAGUCAGUGGUGAAAUCCUACGGCUUAACCGUAGAACUGCCUCUGAUACUGCAGAUCUUGAGUUCGGAAGAGAGAAGCGGAAUUCCAGGUGUAGUGGUGAAAUACGUAGAUAUCUGGAAGAACACCAGUGGCGAAGGCGGCUUCUUGGUCCGCAACUGACGCUGAGGCG